UACGUAGGGUGCGAGCGUUAAUCGGAAUUACUGGGCGUAAAGCGUGCGCAGGCGGUUCGUUGUGUCGGCGGUGAAAGCCCCGGGCUCAACCUGGGAAUGGCCGUUGAAACUGGCGAACUGGAGUGUGGCAGAGGGGGGUGGAAUUCCGCGUGUAGCAGUGAAAUGCGUAGAGAUGUGGAGGAACACCGAUGGCGAAGGCAGCCCCCUGGGUUAACACUGACGCUCAGGCACGAAAGCGUGGGGAGCAAACAGG
rnacentral:rRNA from 1 species